UACGUAGGGGGGCAAGCGUUGUCCGGAAUUAUUGGGCGUAAAGAGCGUGUAGGCGGUCCGGUAAGUCAGCUGUGAAAGUCAAGGGCUCAACCCUUGAAAGCCGGUUGAUACUGUCGGGCUAGAGUCCGGAAGAGGAGAGUGGAAUUCCUGGUGUAGCGGUGAAAUGCGCAGAUAUCAGGAAGAACACCCGUGGCUAAGGCGGCUCUCUAGUACGGUACUGACGCUGAGACGCGAAAGCGUGGGGAGCGAACAGG
rnacentral:rRNA from 1 species